AUGAACGCUAGCGACAGGCCUAACACAUGCAAGUCGGGGGGCGAGCACAAGGAGCAAUCUGAGGUGGCGACCGGCGCACGGGUGAGUAACACGUAUGCAACCUGCCUGUAAGCGGGGAAUAACCCGUUGAAAGACGGACUAAUACCGCAUAAUACUAAAUUACUGCAUGGUAAUUUAUUUAAACAUUUAUGGCUUACAGAUGGGCAUGCGCAUGAUUAGCUAGUUGGAGAGGUAACGGCUCCCCAAGGCAACGAUCAUUAGGGGUUCUGAGAGGAAGGUCCCCCACACUGGUACUGAGACACGGACCAGACUCCUACGGGAGGCAGCAGUGAGGAAUAUUGGUCAAUGGACGAGAGUCUGAACCAGCCAAGUCGCGUGCAGGAAGAAUGUCCCUAUGGAUUGUAAACUGCUUUUGCAGGGGAAUAAAGUGCAUCACGUGUGAUGUUUUGUAUGUACUCUGCGAAUAAGGAUCGGCUAACUCCGUGCCAGCAGCCGC
rnacentral:rRNA from 1 species